rnacentral:lncRNA from 1 species
AUAUAUCUCCACAUGUGAUCACUUGUGUUUGAGUUUUAGGCAUUCGAUGUCGUAACUUACUCGAAACUUUCUCAAUUUUUUAUCAUAGCCUCUACAUUUGAUAACACGACGCUCCGACAAGUUUCGUGUUUUUCAGAAUUUGUUCGGAUUUUAUAUAAUUUUAAAACACUUUUUUCGCACGCACCUUGUCAUGUUACAUCAAAAAGAUGCUCGAUAUUUCAUGCGAGUUCCUAGAUACGGCCUCAACGUACACCAAAUAUCACAAGUAUAAUUUUUUGAAUGACUAAAUUCAAUUAUUUUAUACACCUAUAGUUCAAAUUUGAAAUGUUCUAUAAAAUUUAAUGAAACAAAAAAUUAGCAAAAUAUAGUAAAAAAAUUCCAAAUUAUCCCCAAUUUAAAUACAGAGUCUAUAAUAAUGUACUAAGGCCACAAGAAAAUGGAGCCAAAAGAACAAUUAUUUUACCAAGUCCAUGGCACUCGAUAAAAAAAAAGAAAAAAAAAGAAAAUUUCUUUCCCGAGUGCCCUAUCUGGAGCACUCGGCGAAGACCCAACUGGCCAGGCCUAAUUAGGCCCAACCAGCCCAUCCCGCCCCCACCCCCAACCCUAUUCCUCCGCGGCGCCCCA